rnacentral:rRNA from 1 species
GACGAACGCUGGCGGCGUGCUUAACACAUGCAAGUCGAACGAAGAGCGAUGGAAGCUUGCUUCUAUCAAUCUUAGUGGCGAACGGGUGAGUAACGCGUAAUCAACCUGCCCUUCAGAGGGGGACAACAGUUGGAAACGACUGCUAAUACCGCAUACGAUCUAAUCUCGGCAUCGAGGAUAGAUGAAAGGUGGCCUCUACAUGUAAGCUAUCACUGAAGGAGGGGAUUGCGUCUGAUUAGCUAGUUGGAGGGGUAACGGCCCACCAAGGCGAUGAUCAGUAGCCGGUCUGAGAGGAUGAACGGCCACAUUGGGACUGAGACACGGCCCAGACUCCUACGGGAGGCAGCAGUGGGGAAUCUUCCGCAAUGGACGAAAGUCUGACGGAGCAACGCCGCGUGAGCGAUGACGGCCUUCGGGUUGUAAAGCUCUGUUAAUCGGGACGAAAGGCCUUCUUGCGAAUAGUGAGAAGGAUUGACGGGACCGGAAUAGAAAGCCACGGCUAACUACGU